rnacentral:rRNA from 1 species
GAUGAACGCUGGCGGCGUGCCUAAUACAUGCAAGUCGAGCGAACGGACGAGAAGCUUGCUUUUCUGAUGUUAGCGGCGGACGGGUGAGUAACACGUGGAUAACCUACCUAUAAGACUGGGAUAACUUCGGGAAACCGGAGCUAAUACCGGAUAAUAUUUUGAACCGCAUGGUUCAAAAGUGAAAGACGGUCUUGCUGUCACUUAUAGAUGGAUCCGCGCUGCAUUAGCUAGUUGGUAAGGUAACGGCUUACCAAGGCAACGAUGCAUAGCCGACCUGAGAGGGUGAUCGGCCACACUGGAACUGAGACACGGUCCAGACUCCUACGGGAGGCAGCAGUAGGGAAUCUUCCGCAAUGGGCGAAAGCCUGACGGAGCAACGCCGCGUGAGUGAUGAAGGUCUUCGGAUCGUAAAACUCUGUUAUUAGGGAAGAACACAUGUGUAAGUAACUGUGCACAUCUUGACGGUACCUAAUCAGAAAGCCCCGGCUAACUACGUG